UACAGAGGGGGCAAGCGUUGCUCGGAAUUACUGGGCGUAAAGUGUGCGCAGGUGGCUUCGCAAGUCGAGUGUGAAAUCCCCGGGCUUAACCUGGGAAUUGCGCUCGAAACUACGGAGCUGGAGUGUGGCAGAGGGAGGUGGAAUUCCACGUGUAGCGGUGAAAUGCGUAGAGAUGUGGAGGAACACCAAUGGCGAAGGCAGCCUCCUGGGCCAACACUGACACUCAUGCACGAAAGCGUGGGGAGCAAACAGG
rnacentral:rRNA from 1 species